UACAGGGGGUGCAAACGUUGCUCGGAAUUAUUGGGCGUAAAGCGCGCGUAGGCGGCUACUUAAGUCGGAUGUGAAAGCCCUUGGCUCAACUGAGGAAGUGCACCCGAAACUGAGUGGCUAGAGUACGAAAGAGGGUCGCGGAAUUCCCGGUGUAGAGGUGAAAUUCGUAGAUAUCGGGAGGAACACCGGUGGCGAAGGCGGCGACCUGGGUUGAUAUGACGCUGAGGCGCGAAGCCAGGGGGAGCAAACGGG
rnacentral:rRNA from 1 species